rnacentral:rRNA from 1 species
AUUGAACGCUGGCGGCAGGCUUAACACAUGCAAGUCGAGCGGGGGAAGGUAGCUUGCUACCGGACCUAGCGGCGGACGGGUGAGUAAUGCUUAGGAAUCUGCCUAUUAGUGGGGGACAACAUCUCGAAAGGGAUGCUAAUACCGCAUACGUCCUACGGGAGAAAGCAGGGGAUCUUCGGACCUUGCGCUAAUAGAUGAGCCUAAGUCGGAUUAGCUAGUUGGUGGGGUAAAGGCCUACCAAGGCGACGAUCUGUAGCGGGUCUGAGAGGAUGAUCCGCCACACUGGGACUGAGACACGGCCCAGACUCCUACGGGAGGCAGCAGUGGGGAAUAUUGGACAAUGGGGGGAACCCUGAUCCAGCCAUGCCGCGUGUGUGAAGAAGGCCUUAUGGUUGUAAAGCACUUUGAGCGAGGAGGAGGCUACUUUAGUUAAUACCUAGAGAUAGUGGACGUUACUCGCAGAAUAAGCACCGGCUAACUCUGUGCCAGCAGCCGCGGUAAUACAGAGGGUGCGAGCGUUAAUCGGAUUUACUGGGCGUAAAGCGUGCGUAGGCGGCUUAUUAAGUCGGAUGUGAAAUCCCCGAGCUUAACUUGGGAAUUGCAUUCGAUACUGGUGAGCUAGAGUAUGGGAGAGGAUGGUAGAAUUCCAGGUGUAGCGGUGAAAUGCGUAGAGAUCUGGAGGAAUACCGAUGGCGAAAGCAGCCAUCUGGCCUAAUACUGAC